UAGAGUUUGAUCAUGGCUCAGGAUGAACGCUGGCGGCGUGCCUAAUACAUGCAAGUCGAACGCACAGCGAAAGGUGCUUGCACCUUUCAAGUGAGUGGCGAACGGGUGAGUAACACGUGGACAACCUGCCUCAAGGCUGGGGAUAACAUUUGGAAACAGAUGCUAAUACCGAAUAAAACUUAGUGUCGCAUGACACAAAGUUAAAAGGCGCUUCGGCGUCACCUAGAGAUGGAUCCGCGGUGCAUUAGUUAGUUGGUGGGGUAAAGGCCUACCAAGACAAUGAUGCAUAGCCGAGUUGAGAGACUGAUCGGCCACAUUGGGACUGAGACACGGCCCAAACUCCUACGGGAGGCUGCAGUAGGGAAUCUUCCACAAUGGGCGAAAGCCUGAUGGAGCAACGCCGCGUGUGUGAUGAAGGCUUUCGGGUCGUAAAGCACUGUUGUAUGGGAAGAACAGCUAGAAUAGGAAAUGAUUUUAGUUUGACGGUACCAUACCAGAAAGGGACGGCUAAAUACGUGCCAGCAGCCGCGGUAAUACGUAUGUCCCGAGCGUUAUCCGGAUUUAUUGGGCGUAAAGCGAGCGCAGACGGUUUAUUAAGUCUGAUGUGAAAGCCCGGAGCUCAACUCCGGAAUGGCAUUGGAAACUGGUUAACUUGAGUGCAGUAGAGGUAAGUGGAACUCCAUGUGUAGCGGUGGAAUGCGUAGAUAUAUGGAAGAACACCAGUGGCGAAGGCGGCUUACUGGACUGCAACUGACGUUGAGGCUCGAAAGUGUGGGUAGCAAACAGGAUUAGAUACCCUGGUAGUCCACACCGUAAACGAUGAACACUAGGUGUUAGGAGGUUUCCGCCUCUUAGUGCCGAAGCUAACGCAUUAAGUGUUCCGCCUGGGGAGUACGACCGCAAGGUUGAAACUCAAAGGAAUUGACGGGGACCCGCACAAGCGGUGGAGCAUGUGGUUUAAUUCGAAGCAACGCGAAGAACCUUACCAGGUCUUGACAUCCUUUGAAGCUUUUAGAGAUAGAAGUGUUCUCUUCGGAGACAAAGUGACAGGUGGUGCAUGGUCGUCGUCAGCUCGUGUCGUGAGAUGUUGGGUUAAGUCCCGCAACGAGCGCAACCCUUAUUGUUAGUUGCCAGCAUUCAGAUGGGCACUCUAGCGAGACUGCCGGUGACAAACCGGAGGAAGGCGGGGACGACGUCAGAUCAUCAUGCCCCUUAUGACCUGGGCUACACACGUGCUACAAUGGCGUAUACAACGAGUUGCCAACCCGCGAGGGUGAGCUAAUCUCUUAAAGUACGUCUCAGUUCGGAUUGUAGUCUGCAACUCGACUACAUGAAGUCGGAAUCGCUAGUAAUCGCGGAUCAGCACGCCGCGGUGAAUACGUUCCCGGGUCUUGUACACACCGCCCGUCACACCAUGGGAGUUUGUAAUGCCCAAAGCCGGUGGCCUAACCUUUUAGGAAGGAGCCGUCUAAGGCAGGACAGAUGACUGGGGUGAAGUCGUAACAAGGUAGCCGUAGGAGAACCUGCGGUUGGAUCACC
rnacentral:rRNA from 1 species